rnacentral:rRNA from 1 species
UUCUGUAGGGUGAACCUGCGGAAGGAUCAUUACCGAGUGAGGGCCCUCUGGGUCCAACCUCCCACCCGUGUUUAUUUUACCUUGUUGCUUCGGCGGGCCCGCCUUAACUGGCCGCCGGGGGGCUUACGCCCCCGGGCCCGCGCCCGCCGAAGACACCCUCGAACUCUGUCUGAAGAUUGAAGUCUGAGUGAAAAUAUAAAUUCCUUAAAACUUUCAACAACGGAUCUCUUGGUUCCGGCAUCGAUGAAGAACGCAGCGAAAUGCGAUACGUAAUGUGAAUUGCAAAUUCAGUGAAUCAUCGAGUCUUUGAACGCACAUUGCGCCCCCUGGUAUUCCGGGGGGCAUGCCUGUCCGAGCGUCAUUGCUGCCCUCAAGCCCGGCUUGUGUGUUGGGCCCCGUCCCCCGAUCUCCGGGGGACGGGCCCGAAAGGCAGCGGCGGCACCGCGUCCGGUCCUCGAGCGUAUGGGGCUUUGUCACCCGCUCUGUAGGCCCGGCCGGCGCUUGCCGAUCAACCCAAAUUUUUAUCCAGGUUGACCUCGGAUCAGGUAGGGAUACCCGCUGA